GGAUAACCCGGAGGAAUCCGGCCUAAUACCGCAUGUGGCCGAGGGGAGGCAUCUUCUUUCGGCCAAAGGAGGCGACUCCGGAGACGGAUGGGCAUGCGUGACAUUAGCUUGUUGGCGGGGUAACGGCCCACCAAGGCGACGAUGUCUAGGGGUUCUGAGAGGAAGGUCCCCCACACUGGUACUGAGACACGGACCAGACUCCUACGGGAGGCAGCAGUGAGGAAUAUUGGUCAAUGGGCGAGAGCCUGAACCAGCCAAGUCGCGUGAAGGAUGACGGCCCUACGGGUUGUAAACUUCUUUUGUCAGGGAGCAAUUGGGUCCACGUGUGGGCUUAGCGAGAGUACCUGAAGAAAAAGCAUCGGCUAACUCCGUGCCAGCAGCCGCGGUAAUACGGAGGAUGCGAGCGUUAUCCGGAUUUAUUGGGUUUAAAGGGUGCGUAGGCGGAAUAUCAAGUCAGCGGUAAAAAUUCGGGGCUCAACCCCGUCGUGCCGUUGAAACUGAUGUUCUUGAGUGGGCGAGAAGUAUGCGGAAUGCGUGGUGUAGCGGUGAAAUGCAUAGAUAUCACGCAGAACUCCGAUUGCGAAGGCAGCAUACCGGCGCCCAACUGACGCUGAAGCACGAAAGCGUGGGUAUCGAACAGGAUUAGAUACCCUGGUAGUCCACGCAGUAAACG
rnacentral:rRNA from 1 species